CCAGGGGAUCUUCCCAACUCAGGGAUCGAACCUAGUCUCCCACAUUGUGGGCAGAUUCUUUACAUUCUGAGCCACCAGAGAAGCCCAGGAAAAAGGCUACAGCCUCUAAAAACUUCCCUGUCCAUGGGAUUCUCCAGGAACUAAGGCCCCCACCAGGUGAAAGAAGGUAACUGCAGCCUGGGCGGGUUGGAACCAAAAAAGGAUGAUGAUUGAGAUUCAUGGAACAUUACACCCGUUUCCUUACCAUCAACCAGUCAGAGAAAGGUCACAACCCUGUAGACUUUUCUCCAAAUUUUGCCCAUAAAGACUCUUCCUUGAAACCCUUCUGAGAGUUUGAGCUUACUGAUCAUGAACCACCUGUUGCCUUUGUUUGGCCCUGCAAUAAAUCUGCUCUAAAUGCUGA